rnacentral:rRNA from 1 species
GACGAACGCUGGCGGCGUGCUUAACACAUGCAAGUCGAACGGAAAGGCCCUGCUUUUGUGGGGUGCUCGAGUGGCGAACGGGUGAGUAACACGUGAGUAACCUGCCCUUGACUUUGGGAUAACUUCAGGAAACUGGGGCUAAUACCGGAUAGGAGCUCCUGCUGCAUGGUGGGGGUUGGAAAGUUUCGGCGGUUGGAGAUGGACUCGCGGCUUAUCAGCUUGUUGGUGGGGUAGUGGCUUACCAAGGCUUUGCCGGGUAGCCGGCCUGAGAGGGUGACCGGCCACAUUGGGACUGAGAUACGGCCCAGACUCCUACGGGAGGCAGCAGUGGGGAAUAUUGCACAAUGGGCGGAAGCCUGAUGCAGCAACGCCGCGUGCGGGAUGACGGCCUUCGGGUUGUAAACCGCUUUCGCCUGUGACGAAGCGUGAGUGACGGUAAUGGGUAAAGAAGCACCGGCUAACUACGUG